rnacentral:lncRNA from 1 species
UUUCUGUCCCGUGAAAGCAGCGAUCCUAACGUUUGGGGGCUGUUCUACCUAAAUGAACGUUCUUGUUCUAUUUUAUAGUUAUUACUAGGUUACUCAUUAACUCCGGAGUUUUUACUAGACAAGUGAACCUAAAGGUUGCAGUUCGAGAUUGCGAAAAUAAUAGCGCCACCCGAAGUGGAAAACGGGAACUGCGCAGUCGUCCUAUCUCUCACGGCGAAAAAGGGGCGUUUCUUUUCGCGCGCCCAUGUAUGCUACGGCCUGCGGUGUCCCAAAGGCCGCUUUUACCGCUGUAAAGUUUGUUUUAGCGAAACUAAUGCAAGAUUCAGCCAAACAGACGCAUCCAUGGAUUCUCGCCGUCAUCACAAAUCGUGCUGCGCUGAGUGGUGUCGGAAUUCUUCACGACACACCGGCAUAAAAUUCUUUCGGAUCCCGGCGGACGAAAGAUCUCGCGCUUGGCUUCAGUAUGCGAGACG